rnacentral:miRNA from 1 species
AUGACUGACAUGUACA